rnacentral:rRNA from 1 species
GCCCGCUCAGAAACUUAAAUGAAUUGACGGGGCCCGCACAAGCGGUGGAGUAUGUGGUUUAAUUCGAUGCAACGCGAAGAACCUUACCUGGUCUUGACAUCCCAGAAAUCCCUUGGAAACUUGGGAGUGCUUCCAUUAGGAAGAAUCCGGAGACAGGUGCUGCAUGGCUGUCGUCAGCUCGUGUCGUGAGAUGUUGGGUUAAGUCCCGCAACGAGCGCAACCCUUGCCUUUAGUUGCCAGCAGUUCGGCUGGGCACUCUAAAGGGACUGCCGGUGUCAAACCGGAGGAAGGUGGGGAUGACGUCAAGUCCUCAUGGCCUUUAUGACCAGGGCUACACACGUACUACAAUGGCCGAUACAAAGGGCAGCGACAUCGCGAGGUGAAGCCAAUCCCAUAAAAUCGGUCUCAGUCCGGAUUGGAGUCUGCAACUCGACUCCAUGAAGUUGGAAUCGCUAGUAAUCGUGGAUCAGCAUGCCACGGUGAAUACGUUCCCGGGCCUU